AGUUAUCGUUUAUUUGAUAGCACCUUACUACUUGGAUAACCGUGGUAAUUCUAGAGCUAAUACAUGCUAAAAAUCCCGACUCACGAAGGGAUGUAUUUAUUAGAUUAAAAACCAAUGCCUUCGGGCUUUCUGGUGAUUCAUGAUAACUUCUCGAAUCGCAUGGCCUUGCGCCGGCGAUGGUUCAUUCAAAUUUCUUCCCUAUCAACUUUCGAUGCGAAGGUUUUGUCUUCGCAUGGUUACAACGGGUAACGGAGGGUUAGGGCUCGACCCCGGAGAGGGAGCCUGAGAAAUGGCUACCACUUUUAAGGAAGGCAGCAGGCGCGCAAAUUACCCAAUCCCGACACGGGGAGGUAGUGACAAUAAAUACUGAUACAGGGCUCUUAUGGGUCUUGUAAUCGGAAUGAGUACAAUUUAAAUCCCUUAACGAGGAACAAUUGGAGGGCAAGUCUGGUGCCAGCAGCCGCGGUAAUUCCAGCUCCAAUAGCGUAUAUUAAAAUUGUUGUGGUUAAAAAGCUCGUAGUUGAACCUUGGGCCUGGCUGGCCGGUCCCCCUCACCGGGUGCACUGGUCCGGCCGGGUCUUUCCCUCUGUCGAACCGCAUGCCCUUCACUGGGUGUGUCGGGGAAACAGGACUUUUACUUUGAAAAAAUUAGAGUGCUCCAGGCAGGCCUAUGCUCGAAUAGUACAGCAUGGAAUAAUAGAAUAGGACGUGUGGUUCUAUUUUGUUGGUUUCUAGGACCGCCGUAAUGAUUAAUAGGGACAGUCGGGGGCAUCAGUAUUCAGCUGUCAGAGGUGAAAUUCUUGGAUCUGCUGAAGACUAACUACUGCGAAAGCAUUUGCCAAGGAUGUUUUCAUUGAUAAGGAACGAAAGUUAGGGGAUCGAAGACGAUCAGAUACCGUCGUAGUCUUAACCAUAAACUAUGCCGACUAGGGAUCGGACGAUGUUAUUUUUUGACUCGUUCGGCACCUUUCGAGAAAUCAAAGUGCUUGGG
rnacentral:rRNA from 1 species